UACGAAGGGUGCAAGCGUUACUCGGAAUUACUGGGCGUAAAGCGUGCGUAGGUGGUUUGUUAAGUCUGUUGUGAAAGCCCCGGGCUCAACCUGGGAAUGGCAAUUGAUACUGGCAAGCUAGAGUGCGGUAGAGGGUAGUGGAAUUCCCGGUGUAGCGGUGAAAUGCGUAGAGAUCGGGAGGAACACCAGUGGCGAAGGCGGCUACCUGGACCAGCACUGACACUGAGGCACGAAAGCGUGGGGAGCAAACAGG
rnacentral:rRNA from 1 species